rnacentral:lncRNA from 1 species
CAAACUUUUAAGGAAUCUCAUCAGGCAAGCCACAUGCUGGAUUCUGAGGAUACUUGCUGCUAAGAGUUGUCAUUUCAAGAGUUGGUUACUGUGUAUAAGUAGUACCAUCAAACCAUUGAGACACAUUGGUUUUAGGCUGGAGGGUUGGGUAAUUUGGUAUAAACCAGUACAGAGAUUUAAACUAUAGUGAUCUCUGAUAAUAUCUGAAUUUGAGUCUCAUCCAAAUCUUUCCACUAAUGGAAUCAAGUUGAGAUACUGAAAGAAGAAAACUAUGGUAUACAUUCCUUCUCUCAUUAGGACCAUUUCUUUUUUUGACCAAAGCCUACAAGCUUUUUGCUCCUUUAUCAUCAGAGGUAAGCAAGAGGUAACUCAAGAGGUCCGCAGUCACAGCUAUCACCGGCCUGCAGCUAGGUGUGAAACACACAGAAGAGGAACCUCAAAGACACAGUGAGGGCUAAGAGUUCCAGGUGGUCCGGUGGUUAGGACUCCAUGCUUUCACUGCCAACGUUGAAGAUUCAGCCCCUGAUCCCAGAAGAUCUUGUAAGGCAUGUAGAAGGGCCUUAAAAAAAAAAAAAGAGA